rnacentral:rRNA from 1 species
AUACGGGGGGAGCAAGCGUUGUCCGGAAUCAUUGGGCGUAAAGGGCGCGUAGGCGGCCUGACAAGUCAGGGGUGAAAUCCCUCGGCUCAACCGAGGAACUGCCUCUGAAACUGUCAGGCUUGAGGCCGGGAGAGGGUAGUGGAAUUCCCAGUGUAGCGGUGAAAUGCGUAGAUAUUGGGAGGAACACCAGUGGCGAAGGCGGCUACCUGGACCGGUUCUGACGCUGAGGCGCGAAAGUGUGGGGAGCAAACAGGAUUAGAUACCCUAGUAGUCC